rnacentral:lncRNA from 1 species
ACGUCUAAAAACGCCGUUAACCCUCGAUCGCUCGCUCGCACGCUUGCACCGGCUCCCCCCGCUCGGUCCGCUCGCCGCAACGCGCCGCGCCUCCCCCGCUCGUCGCGGCCGCGCCGGGCCGCUCGCCCCGCUCGCCGCGCCUCCUCCCCCGCUCGCCGCGCCGCGCCGCUCGCCCCCGCUCGCCCCCGCUCGGUCCCGCUCCCCCCGCUCGCCCCGCUUGCCGCGCCGCGCCUCCCACGCUCGGCUGGCCGUGCCUCCUCCCCCGCUCCCUCCCCC